CCUGUGCAGCCUUCAGUCCCAGUCAGCACCCAGCAUGGACAUGAGGACCCCUGCUCAGCUUCUGGGGCUCCUGCUUCUCUGGCUCCCAGGAGCCAGGUGUGACGUCCAGAUGACCCAGUCUCCAUCCUCACUGUCUGUGUCUGUAGGAGACACAGCCACCAUCACUUGCAGGGCCAGUGAGAGCAUUGGUUACAGAUUAGCCUGGUACCAGCAGCAACAAGAGAAAGCCCCUAAACUCCUGAUCUAUGCUGCAGAUGUAUUGGAAUCUGGGGUCCCAUCGAGGUUCAGUGGGAGUCAAUCUGGAACAGAGUUCACUCUCACCAUCAGCAGCCUGCAGCCUGAAGAUGCUGCCACUUAUUACUGCCAACAAGCUUAUAGUGUUCCUCCCACAGUGAUACAUACAUAA